rnacentral:lncRNA from 1 species
AUCAGGUUUGGAUCCAAGUUUCAUAAACUUCAUCUUUGCCAGAGAAAAGAAAGAUCCAAACUUUACUAUCCUUGCACGCAACAAAAACCAACCUCUUCUUCCCUUGUUGUGUUUACUAUUGAACCAAGAACUCCAGAAUCAGACAGCAUACACCUUCCAAGUGAUAUAUAUACAUAACCCCAACUCGAGGAGAAGUUUCCCUUAAUUGGAAAUGGAACAGUAACCCAAGGUGUGGGGACCAAAUUUGUUGUGAAUUAGAACACAACAAGACCUUCUAUGGCUUCAAUCAAAUCUGAUCUAGAAAAAGACUAAGAAAUGAGACACAUUAUCAAAUCGAGGCAAGAUUAGUCUGACUAUGAAAGAGAGAGAAGAGAGGGGGGGGGGGG